rnacentral:tRNA from 1 species
GGGAUGUUAGCUCAGUUGGUUCAGAGCAUCACGUCGACAACGUGGGGGCCACUGGUUCGAGUCCAGUACGUCCCACUA